CCCAGACUCCUACGGGAGGCAGCAGUGGGGAAUAUUGCACAAUGGGGGAAACCCCGAUGCAGCAACGCCGCGUGAGUGAAGAAGUAUUUCGGUAUGUAAAGCUCUAUCAGCAGGGAAGAAGAAGGACGGUACCUGACUAAGAAGCCCCGGCUAACUACGUGCCAGCAGCCGCGGUAAUACGUAGGGGGCGAGCGUUAUCCGGAUUUACUGGGUGUAAAGGGAGCGUAGACGGUUAAUCAAGUCUGAAGUGAAAGCCCGCGGCUCAACUGCGGAACGGCUUUGGAAACUGAGUAACUGGAGUGCUGGAGGGGCAGGCGGAAUUCCUAGUGUAGCGGUGAAAUGCGUAGAUAUUAGGAGGAACACCAGUGGCGAAGGCGGCCUGCUGGACGAUGACUGACGUUGAGGCUCGAAAGCGUGGGGAGCAAACAGGAUUAGAUACCCCGGUAA
rnacentral:rRNA from 1 species